AGAGUUCACACCAUUCACAUGAGAAUUUUAGAGGGAAAAAUAUUUACAAUUCAACUGCUCCAAAUGAAACUAGUAUAAGAUUCUUUAUGAUGCAAGUCUACUUUCAAAAUGUCAAAAUGAUGAACCAUUUUCUGCUUUCAUCCAGCCUGCUUCCCAAGAUGGAAAUAUAUAUGGAGCAUUUGCUGUAUCCCAUGUAUUAUACUGAGCAUUGGGGAUGCCAAGUUGUAACAUGAUGCUUGGAGAGCUAGCUGCAGUGGGGGGAAAUGAAGAUGACCCACAAUGAACUCCAUUCCAGUGAUGCUCUUCUUCUGGUAUCAGAGAACCACUGUAGAUUGCUGAAGCCAAAAAAGAGACAGAUGUGUCUCCCAGAGCCAAGGGCAUAAGCACAGCAGAGCCUCAGGAAAGACUGGAGCCAAACCAGGGCCUGGAAAGUCCACGGGACGUACCUGACAUUUGGUGCCAUGACUCAGAUCGGGGGACCUGCCUUGGGAGAUCAAUCCCCUGUCCUCCCGCUCUUUGCUCCAUGAGAAAGAUCCACCUACGACCUCGGGUCCUCAGACAAACCAGCCCAACGAACAUCUCACCAAUUUUAAAUCAGGCAUGCUCCAGCUGCUUCCUGAUGAAGGAAAGCUUCCAGAUAGAUGCUUGCUUGCUGAAAGCUGAAUCCAAAGAAGCUGACACCAGUGUCCUUAGACUAAUAGCAAGCCAAAAAUUGAACUUUCUCUUCCCUGAACUAUGGCCAAGGCCCUCUCACAGUUUGGAAAUUCUUAAAACCUCCAGAUCCAGACCCUGUGUGUUGGAAAUUGCACCAUUUAGUCACUGGGUCCCCAGUAGAAACCUAACUUAGGUCAGUGGGAUAAGGUUUAUCUUCCUCCUAGCCCUCUGAAGAUGGACCUGCUUGACACCCUGAGUAGGAAGGCUGCUAGUAAAACUUUAUACUCCACCCAUACACACCAAUCCCUUUACAACCCAAAUGGCUACCCCAGCUGGCCUCAGAAAUAUUUAUAGAAAUGUAUGAAUUUACUGUGAGCUAACUUUAUGGCAGUCACUUGUUCUAAGAAAUUCACAUGUAUUAGCAUCCUUACAAUAGCCUCUUGAAGUAAGUAUGAUUUUGAAGACAGAAAAACAGAAAAUUAGAGGAGUCAAAUAAUUUUUCCAAGACUCCCUCAAAGAUUAAGUGGCAGUGAUGUGAUUUGAAACCCAGCUAUUCUCCCCAAAGACAAUACUAAUUCAACUGCUUCAUCUCACAGUUAAAAACUAAAGGUCCUAAAUGUAUAAUAAUGGGUUAAAAGAAACAAGGCCAUUUUAAAUAUGUGUUGAGAUAUGUCUCAAAUACUAGAAGCUAUAAUAUAUCUGCAUUAUUGAAAUAAGAUUUACACAAAUAUAAAAGCCAAGAUUAAAAUCAAAACCCACAUUUUUUUCCUGAACCACGAUGCUUUUUUUUUUUUUUGUCACCAAUGCAUAUUUAUUUUCCAGCUCAUGGAACAUGCUCAGGAUAGAUUUGUUGAAUGAUUAAAUGAAUUAUGUUUGAAUAAUUUGAUUUAAUGUCAUUCCACUCCUGCAGGAACUUUGAGUUGGUAAACUUGAUUCCAAAGAGUCUCCGCUCUUUAAGGAUGGUUGGGCUGCAUAACUGCUGUUCAGACAGCAUGGCCAUUUGUUCAGAACUUUAAAAUUUCUUGGGAAUGUUCUACCAAAAAGUGCUAAUGUGGACACUGAUUGUGUGGCUAUCUGGAAUGGUGAUAAAUAUGCUCCUUAGGUAUCUGUUAGAAUCAGCCCUGCCCAAUGAGAAAACAUUCCUGCUCUGUAUGUCCUUUUCUCAACCAUAUAGCAACAUUACAUAACAGCUCUCUAAACAGUUUUAAGAGACUUAGUUCUGCUCUCCCAGACCACAGGGAAGAAAGCCAUGUUCCUUGGGCAGAACAACCCUUCACAUGUUCUUUACUCUGCAGCCUCACCAUAAGUCACGCUGGGUUGUUCCUUCGUCACCCGCAGGAACAUGUUGCUCACACGCAGCCCUUCCCUGCUAAAGUCUGCAUUGCCUUGUAAAGUCCAAUUUUCUCUUAACUGCAUCAUGCCAUGCACUGUAAAUCACAUUUGCAUCCCAUUUAAAACAUAAACCACAAUAGACACUGAAGAACAAAAGGAACUACAAGCCCAGCUUUUUUUGACAAAACUCCCACACAUUGAUAAUUGGAAGCACAUAAAUAUGUACACAGAUGAGGUCUGGAAGUGCUGCCAUGCCUAGGUUACAUGUUUCUCGGCCUCAUCCACUUUCAAUUCUGCCACCAAAUCUCCUAGAAGAGUAUGAAGGGCAAGAAAAGACUAGCAGAGUGAAUACAGUCAUUAAUAACUUAACUGAACAUUUUUAAAUAACUUAAAGAGUGUAAUUGAAUUGUUUGCAACCCUGAAAAAAUGCUUGAGGGGAUGAAAACCCCAUUCUUCAUGAUGUGCUUAUUUCACACUGCAUGCCUGUAUCAAAAAAUCUCAUGUACCCCAUAAAUAUAUACACCUACUGUGUACCCACAAAAAUUAAAAAUGAAAACAAGACUAACAAAAAGCUUUCUAGAAGCAAUAGAAAUUAAAACAAAUAACAUGGAUUGACAGACAAAUUGUGCUCUUGGAGUCUUCACUUAACCAUGAUUGCACCCUUUCUGGUUGCUUGAUGGCAUACAACUCCCAUUGUUAGAAUUCAAACUUUAAGUUGGUUCUAAAACAACAGCUGGUUAC
rnacentral:lncRNA from 10 species